CGCGUAGGCGGCCCGCUAAGUCGAACGUGAAAUCCCCAGGCUCAACCUGGGAACUGCGUCCGAUACUGGCAGGCUUGAAUCCGGGAGAGGGAUGUGGAAUUCCAGGUGUAGCGGUGAAAUGCGUAGAUAUCUGGAGGAACACCGGUGGCGAAGGCGGCAUCCUGGACCGGCAUUGACGCUGAGGCGCGAAAGCUAGGGAGCAAACG
rnacentral:rRNA from 1 species